rnacentral:lncRNA from 1 species
CUCGACGCCUCGCCCCUUUUUGGCUGCAAAAAAAAACCACCCGAGCCGGGGGGGAAACGGUGCCGCUGCCGGAGGUCACCCAGCGCCUGCUACGCGCAACAUCAUCAGGCCCCUGGGAAAUGCUGGUCCACAUCACACUUUCCAAUACGUUCCUCCGUUUUAAACAAGAAGGCGACUGCAGCCGGCACUUGUCCGUGAGGCUUUUGCUUCAGCAGGCCCGGCCGCACGCGACGCCAGAGGAAACGAGGCCGUGGAGAGAGGAGGCGAACCCACCUCGCACCCCGCUGGGCUCUGGCAUGACCUGACACAGCCGCAUACGUUAAUUAACAAGAGCCGGUUCCUGACAACAGCCAGAUGCUCUGCUCCCGGCUGUUCGUCGCCGACGUUGCCUUGAAGAAACUGUAGGUACCUCUACGGGGCUCGCUGAGAAAGAGCUUUUUGCAGCCAGCUGCUGUGACAAGUAUUGGGGUGGCAGAGUAAUGAGUAGCCUUCCAAAAAUGCGCUUUUUAAAGCAUCAACAGUAUUAAAAGAAAAUCACAGUUUUUGAAGAAAAUCGCAGGAUGUUCUGAUAUUUUUGGGGGUGGGCAAUGGAGUAAACGCUAAUUACAGCUGCCAGCGUGAAUUCGGUAUGGUCGCUGGCCUCCCAUCACUGACCUGCGCAGUAGCACACAGCAGGACGUGAGGGGUCGCACCCGGAGUCCAAGUCCUUCCUCCCCUGGGUACCUAUUAUGCGGGGAUGAAACUAAGAAAGCCCUGAAAAAAUGACAUUACAAGUGUUCUCCAGUUUGCUUCAUUAGGAAGGAAACAGGAUUUUCAUUUUCUAGGUCUGUAAAGUUGUGCGCUCUUAUGGGUACAGUAGUAAAUUGUUGCUUUUUUUUCCUGAGAGAGAAAGCAAAUGCUUUUGACUGCUCCUAUUGUCCGUGGCGUGUACACACCAAUCCUUUUAGUUAGUCUGAAUUUUGAAUAGCUUUUUUGCCUACAUAUUCAAAAAUACCACCUUCACUCACCAUCACAA